rnacentral:lncRNA from 1 species
ACUCAGCAGCAUGCGGGAGACCGGUGGCAGGCAGUGAUUCAUUGGUGCGCGGGGGACCGGUGAUGGCGACGCGAGGGACCGAUGAUGGCAAUGGCGACACAAGGGACCGAUGACGGCAACGGCGACGCGUGCGGGGGAGCUGCGACGGUAGCUUGCUGCACGGCGGCAGGUAUUUUCUUUUCUUUUUUAUUUUCUUUUGACGGUGCUCAUCACCGCCGAUUACACAUCCGACCGUGCAGGUCUCCAAACUAAUGGUGAUCUCCAAACUAAUGGUGAUGAAGGUUUUGGGAUCAAUGGUGAUGACCCAUCAUGUAAUAGUGAUUUAUGCUUGUACCUGGGCACAGGACACCUGUUCGGCUGUUCGCCGGGUUUGAUUAUGGAUGUUCACCACUUCCAAGCAUGAAGUACAUCGUAGUGAGCAAGGGCGAGGCCAUAUUUAAGUUCGGAAACGCGCCAUGGAACUUUGCUGUCGUGAGUGAAGUGGACAACAGUCGAUCAAUGCAAAGAGGAUCCUUUUCCUGCUUUGCCGUAUCUUUCUUGCCGAUGAUGCUACAGAACAUAACUGUAUCGCCGCUCAAUUUUGUUGUCUCCUAGUCAUCCUUGCACAUUAGUAUUGCCGUUUGCAUCCCCUUGUAACUUAUAAUUAAUCGCUGGCCACAUGAAUUGCCACAGUCACUUGGAAGCAGAUCCAAUACAGUUUUUUA